CGAAAGGUUUGGUCCUAGCCUUACUAUCAACUAUUACCCAACUUACACAUGCAAGUAUCCGCACACCCGUGAAAAUGCCCUCGCCCCUCUCACACAGAACGAGGAGCUGGUAUCAGGCACCCUCCCCGCCCAUGACACCUAGCUUCGCCACACCCUCAAGGGCCCUCAGCAGUGAUAAACAUUGCGAAUAAGCGCCAGCUUGACGCAGUCAAAGUAAAUAGAGCCGGCCAAUUCGGUGCCAGCCGCCGCGGCUACCCCGUUCGGCUCAAGUUGAUACCCUCGGCGUCAAGCGUGGUUAAAGUGACACAAAUAUUAGAAUUAAACCCAGCCAAGUUGUCAAACACUCGCCUAUGGAAACCCGCACACGAAAGUUAUUCUAAAACACUUGAACCCACGACAGUUGGGGCACAAACUGGGAUUAGAUACCCCACUAUGCCCAACCGUAAAAUAUUAACUCACACCCCCACCGCCAGAGAAUUACGAGCUUAACCUUAAAACUCAAAGGACUUGACGGUGCCCCACCCACCUAGAGGAGCCUGUUCUAUAAUCGACACUCCCCGCUACACCUCACCACUUCUAGUAUAUCAGUCUGUAUACCUCCGUCAUAAGUCUACCAUGUGAACGCCACAGUGGACUAAAAGACCCCACCCGUCAACACGUCAGGUCAAGGUGCAACUUACGAACUGGGAAGCAAUGGGCUACAAUUUCUACCAUAGAACACACGAAAAACUGCAUGCAAUACAGUCAUUGAAGGUGGAUUUAGCAGUAAAAAGAAAUCAGAGAGUUCUUUUAAAUCAGGCGCUGGGGCGCGCACACACCGCCCGUCACCCUCUUCAAAUGCCCGUGCAUUAGAAGAGGCAAGUCGUAACAUGGUAAGUGUACUGGAAAGUGCACUUGGAUAACAAA
rnacentral:ncRNA from 1 species